rnacentral:rRNA from 1 species
AUGAACGCUGGCGGCAGGCCUAACACAUGCAAGUCGAACGGAGUUAUAUUGUAGCUUGCUAUGGUAUAACUUAGUGGCAGACGGGUGAGUAAUGUAUAGGAAUCUACCUAGUAGUACGGAAUAAUUGUUGGAAACGGCAACUAAUACCGUAUACGCCCUACGGGGGAAAAAUUUAUUGCUAUUAGAUGAGCCUAUAUUAGAUUAGCUAGUUGGUGGAGUAAUAGCCUACCAAGGCAAUGAUCUAUAGCUGAUCUGAGAGGAUGAUCAGCCACACUGGAACUGAGAUACGGUCCAGACUCCUACGGGAGGCAGCAGUGGGGAAUAUUGGACAAUGGGCGAAAGCCUGAUCCAGCCAUGCCGCAUGAGUGAAGAAGGCCUUUGGGUUGUAAAGCUCUUUUAGUGAGGAAGAUAAUGACGGUACUCACAGAAGAAGUCCUGGCUAACUCCGUGCCAGCAGCCGCGGUAAUGCGGAGAGGGCUAGCGUUAUUCGGAAUUAUUGGGCGUAAAGGGCGCGUAGGCGGAUUAGUAAGUUAAAAGUGAAAU